GCUGUCAUUAGAAAAAAAAAUUGCGUCUAAUUUUUUGUAAGUGUUUUUGUUAGUGAAAGACGGUUUUUAAAAAAUGCCAAAUAAAUGCUGUGUCCCAAUGUGCACUUAUGGUUACGUAAAAAAUUGAAUUGUCUCCGAAAAAGUUGCGAUCUUCAAGACAAAAGACCAAAAAAUGCAAAAACAAUGGAUGAAAUAUAUUCCAAGAAAAAAUUAUAUAGUCACUGCUUUAAGUGGUGGGUUUGCGUCCAUCAUUUUUCAGACUCUGACAUAGACAAAGGGUAUUUCUUGAAUGUUGCAGGACAAAAAAUUUUCAAGGAACACAGGAAUUGGAAACUGAAACCGGGGGCAAUUUAAAAAAAUUUUCCUAAUUGCCCACCCUACAUGACAAAAGUCACAUACAGCAGAAUAAAGAAAAGAAAUUGUGAUAUCGAUGAAUCUGUUGAGGAACCGGGAAGGAAGGAUGCAGUCUACAGAUACACCACUUUAUGUAGCGACUACAUUGACAGAUGCUACAAUUUCCCUUGGAAAUAAGGUAAGUGGAGAUGAAGCUCAAGAUAUGCCUUUAACACCUACUCAGCAGGACAUUGAUUGGCAAACGGGAAUUAGCAAAUUGAAAUUUCCAAGUAAUUUGUCGUAUACCAAGGAAAACGACGAAUUGAAGAAACUUACCGGGCAGAGGUUGACUUAGGGAACAUCACUAAGUCUCCUUGAAAUUAUGAACAUCCUGGACUGGUUUGAGAGAUCGAUGGAAACUCUGGGUGGGCUGGUGAAGGAAAAUAAAUUCAAUCCCACCAUUUGCUGCGAUACACACCGGAAGGAACUUGUCGGAAAAUUAGUUUUAGAGUAUUUAAUCAUCAGAAAUCAUUUGGAAACUAAAAAGUGGGUUAAGGAAUUCAAUCAACAAUCAAAGUCAAAAUCACUGCGUAAACAAGCCAAAGUGAUUUCUUAGUCUCUUUUUCUUUUUUACUUUUACCGUACUGCCAUUCUUACUGACUAAUCUACAGUUGUAACUAAGAAACAAUUGAAGCAAUAAAACUUGUUCAAAAUGUGUUAAAACCUAGUUGUUUGAUUAUAAUUACCGAUA